rnacentral:rRNA from 1 species
CACGGGGGGAGCAAGCGUUGUUCGGAAUCACUGGGCGUAAAGGGCGCGUAGGCGGUCACGCACGUCCGUUGUGAAAUCGCUCGGCUCAACUGGGCGGGGUCAGCGGAUACGGCGUGGCUGGAGCAAGCUAGGGGGCAAUGGAAUUCCCGGUGUAGUGGUGAAAUUCGUAGAUAUCGAGAGGAACACCGGUGGCGAAGGCGGCCAACUGGACAGAUACUGACGCUGAGACACGAAAGCGUGGGGAGCAAACAGG